rnacentral:rRNA from 1 species
ACUCAAAUGAAUUGACGGGGACCCGCACAAGCGGUGGAGCGUGUUCUUUAAUUCGAUGAUAAACGAAGAACCUUACCAGGGCUUGACAUCCCGAGAAUUUUGUCGAAAGACGAGAGUGCUUUAUUGAACUCGGUGACAGAUCUUGCAUGGCCGUCGUCAGCUCGUGUCGUGAGAUGUUUGGUUAAGUCCAUCAACGAGCGCAACCCUUGUGGCUAGUUGAAUUUUUCUAGUCAGACUGCCCCGGUAACGGGGAGGAAGGAGGGGAUGAUGUCAGGUCAGUAUUAGUCUUACGUCCUGGGCUAGAAACGCGCUACAAUGGCCAGUACAACGGGCAGCCAACCCGCAAGGGGGAGCAAAUCCCAUCAAAACUGGUCCCAGUUCGGAUAAGAGGCUGAAACUCGCCUCUUUGAAGUCGGAAUCGCUAGUAAUCGCAGAUCAGCAUGUUGCGGUGAAUACGUUCCCGGGUCUUGUACACACCGCCCGU